UACGUAGGGUGCGAGCGUUGUCCGGAAUUACUGGGCGUAAAGAGCUCGUAGGUGGUUUGUCGCGUUGUCCGUGAAAACUCACAACUCAAUUGUGGGCGUGCGGGCGAUACGGGCAGACUGGAGUACUGCAGGGGAGACUGGAAAUUCCUGGUGUAGCGGUGGAAUGCGCAGAUAUCAGGAGGAACACCGGUGGCGAAGGCGGGUCUCUGGGCAGUAACUGACGCUGAGGAGCGAAAGCGUGGGGAGCAAACAGG
rnacentral:rRNA from 1 species